rnacentral:tRNA from 1 species
GUGUUGGUGGUUCAGUGGUAGAAUUCUUGCUUUCCAUAUGGGAGAUCUGGGUUCAAUUCCUGGCCAGUGCA